GUUUGGUAUACACAUAUACGAUAUUGUGUUGUGCUAACCGCGGUAUGAACUCAGUUCUAAUUAGAAUUUCUAUGCCAGUUUCAUGUGGCUCUCUUGAAGUGACAAUGCUUAACUAAAAAAAAAACCAAACCAAACUGUGGAGAUCGAAUUUUCUGAACUACCAGUCUACGGAAUCAACCACGCCACUUGACAGCCAACGAUCGACCAACGAUCAGCGUGCAGCUGAGAUGACAGUGGUUCCAAGAACGGUUGGGUCUACGUCCCGGAGCCACUCGUCACCUACGACGACCAAGUACCGUUCAACACCUCCCAAAGCGAUUCCACAAGCAGAUCCCGGCGGGUUACAACAACAACAACAGCGCAAGCGCCUGUGGACAAGCUAAUCGCCAGGAACGUCCUACUAUCAAUUAAGAAGCUCACAAGCUUCGAAAUGUUAGCAAGGCAGAUAUCACUCCAAGAGAAAAAUAAAAAUGUCCUUCGGAGAUCAUUUGAUGAUAUGAAUACAAUUAUAUUCUGGCUAUAAAAGAAGCUUCAAUAUACGAUGUUACACUGUGGCCGAUUCGUCAAUUGCAGUAACAGGUCAACAGAUAUCGUUCUGCUUUCCUUCUCACACUAUCAUCACUUAACCACACCUUAACUCAUGCAUACGACUUUGUAAUUCCUUUGUUGUUGUUGUAACUUACAACGAUCUGUACAUGUAGUCUGUUUUGGGGGUCUAUUUUUGGAACGAAACUUGCUCAGCGAUGUAAACCUGGCCUUAUCUAUUUUAUACAUACAUACGUGCGGGACACAACAGCAAUAUAUUGUCCCACUUUUUGUUUGGAUUACGACGACUGUAAAAAAAAAUAUACUACAAACGGAAUAUAAACAAUUUUACGAUAUUCACACAAAUCUUGAAAGGCUUUUAACAUGUUCUUGUAAACUGCACUAUUUAGAAUACGAUUGGGUCUGACCAGACACUGCUAUGACCCUGCUACUCUAAAAACAUAUUCUUCCUGUAAUCCGAACUGUUUUUAAUACAAUUGAAUAAGAAAAAAACAGUUAAUUUCUUUAAAAUAUAUAUUAUUUUAUAAACUGCACACCUGUGACUAACUGUUAUGCAGAUCUACCAAGACUCCGUUAUCACCCAGCCAUUCUGGAAACGUACUAUUCUUGUAUACUCCCCGGUGGUAAAUGAAAACAAAAUCUUAACACGAUGAUUAGGUUACAAUCUAUUGUAUAAUAUAUUCCAUAUGACACCACUAAAAACUUUAUUGAAGUUAUGUAAAGUUUGCUGGCUAACUUAAUGCCAUCUCA